GUGCCAGCCGCCGCGGUAAUACGGGGGGGGCAAGCGUUGUUCGGAAUUACUGGGCGUAAAGGGCUCGUAGGUGGCCAACUCAGUCGGACGUGAAAUCCCUCGGCUUAACCGGGGAACUGCGUCCGAUACUGGAUGGCUUGAGAUCGGGAGAGGGAUGCGGAAUUCCAGGUGUAGCGGUGAAAUGCGUAGAUAUCUGGAGGAACACCGGUGGCGAAGGCGGCAUCCUGGACCGACACUGACACUGAGGAGCGAAAGCCAGGGGAGCAAACGGGAUUAGAUACCCUCGUAGUCC
rnacentral:rRNA from 1 species